UACGUAGGGUGCAAGCGUUAAUCGGAAUUACUGGGCGUAAAGCGUGCGCAGGCGGUUGUGUAAGUCUGUCGUGAAAUCCCCGGGCUCAACCUGGGAAUUGCGAUGGAGACUGCACGGCUAGAGUGUGUCAGAGGGGGGUAGAAUUCCACGUGUAGCAGUGAAAUGCGUAGAUAUGUGGAGGAACACCGAUGGCGAAGGCAGCCCCCUGGGGUAACACUGACGCUCAUGCACGAAAGCGUGGGGAGCAAACAGG
rnacentral:rRNA from 1 species